rnacentral:rRNA from 1 species
UGAAACCGUUUAGGGGUAAACCUGAGAAACCCGAAAGGUCGAAGGGAGAAAUUCAUUCGUGUUUUGAUGUUGACGUUGAGUGGUGUUGUGUGACGAGAGAUGUUUCGAUAUCUUUUGCAUCCUCCAUUUAACGAAUCGACAACAAACACGUGCACUUUUCUCCUGGUAGGACGUCGCAAUCCGUUGAGUGUUGGUCUACGGCUGUGCGGUGGAGUCCGUUUGUCGUAUGUCAAAGUACGUGUACAAACGAACCCGUAUGUGACCUGGCCAACUUGCUCGACGGUAUAAUUCAAGGUUAGAGACCGCUCUUCUAUGUGAGCGUCUGACUUGUGGCAAGCGCGUUAGAUGUUUGUCGGCAAUCGGACCUAGUGCCGAUACUGACCUCUAAUGACUGUUGGCUGCAAUGUUCUUGGACAGAUCUCUUUUUUAACCGUUUGGCGGCGCUAUAGCUUUGGGUAAUUUCAGGACCCGUCUUGAAACACGGACCAAGGAGUCUAGCAUGUACGCGAGUCAUUGGGAUUUAUAAUAAACCUAAAGGCGUAAUGAAAGUAAAGGUUUUCGCUUGCGAUGACCGAGGGAAGAUAAGUGUUCAUUUCGUGUGGAUGCUUCGCAUUCCCGGGGCGUCUCAUACUCAUUGCGAGUAGAGGCGCACCAAGAGCGUACACGCUGGGACCCGAAAGAUGGUGAACUAUGCCUGGUCAGGACGAA